GAGAAAGAAGAAAAACUUCCUGCAACAGGGACCAGUUUCGGCGGGGAUCUACCCUAACCUACCAUAACCGCAUCCCUGCCGCAGUACCAGCUCUCCAGAGUCAGGACAGGACACUCCCGCCCUUCAAAAUGAGAAGUGAGAAGAUCUGAAUGAAGCAGUGCUGGCAAACGACCGAACAACCCAGCAGAAAACGUGAAAUAUGGAGAGACGGUUUGCCAAUGAUUUAGGCGCUGAGGUAAAGCAUACUGCUGGAAAAGCAGAUCCGAUCCAGUUUAAUCAUACAACCUUAAUAAAAACGUAUAGUCUGAGACGGGAAA